UUUUACUUGCGAUGAAGAAUAUGAUUCGUUCCCCGGGUGAGUCCCAAUGUUUUUAGGGUUUCAGGUAUCCUCUAUAGGAGUCCUAGUUUUACUCAACUUAUGUGUUUCUUGGGCGAGUCACGAUUUGCUUAAUUUUGCUUGCAUUGGAGGGUACAAUGUGUUUCCCUGGUGAUUUCUCCUGCUUCUAUUCCAUUUAGAGAAACAUUCAGUUAAAACAAAAUAAAAGCGUUCAUUACCUUGAUUUGAUCUCUACACGAGUGGAAAUGAGUGAUCACGUUCCCUCCUCCGGUUUCGCUUUUAGUGGCCGCUACUAGUUUGGCAAGAAAGCUAAUACGAUGUAGAGCCAAUUGGAUUGUAGGGUACUCUGCAUUUUCCGCUCGAAAAUAUCGGUCUGACAAUUUAAAAAUUGACAAUGAUGAUGACGAUCCAUCGAGCUUCGAUGAAAGUGUUUCCUUUUAUAUUAAAGCUAAAACUCUCCUCUCAGUAGUUUUCUGUAUUUUACUUAUCGUUUUUCUGUAGCCCUUUUUUCAAGAAUUGAUGAGUGGGAGAGUGGUACUCAAAAAAUUAAAAACAAACUUAGAUUUGAAAAGACUUGUUGUUCUACCAAAAUAAAGUGAAUAUACUUACAGAAAAUUGGCAAACAUCUUUAGCGAUCUGGAUUAGCAGGUUUACCUGCAUUUGAUUAACGAGGAUGAAAGUCAUUUGACAUGUGCAUGACAUGCUGCAUUCCGAUCCCC
rnacentral:lncRNA from 1 species